GACGAACGCUGGCGGCGUGCCUAAUACAUGCAAGUUGAGCGCUGAAGGUUGGUACUUGUACCAACUGGAUGAGCAGCGAACGGGUGAGUAACGCGUGGGGAAUCUGCCUUUGAGCGGGGGACAACAUUUGGAAACGAAUGCUAAUACCGCAUAAAAACUUUAAACACAAGUUUUAAGUUUGAAAGAUGCAAUUGCAUCACUCAAAGAUGAUCCCGCGUUGUAUUAGCUAGUUGGUGAGGUAAAGGCUCACCAAGGCGAUGAUACAUAGCCGACCUGAGAGGGUGAUCGGCCACUUUGGGACUGAGACACGGCCCAAACUCCUACGGGAGGCAGCAGUAGGGAAUCUUCGGCAAUGGACGAAAGUCUGACCGAGCAACGCCGCGUGAGUGAAGAAGGUUUUCGGAUCGUAAAACUCUGUUGGUAGAGAAGAACGUUGGUGAGAGUGGAAAGCUCAUCAAGUGACGGUAACUACCCAGAAAGGGACGGCUAACUACGU
rnacentral:rRNA from 1 species